GAGGUGACAGGAGCCAGUCCGACGGAUUGUUUUUAGUCAGGUUUUCUAAGGGGAGGGUCGGCUUGUUCAUAUGUCGAACAUGAUGAGAGCUUUUACACCCCAAGAGGAUGGCACGCCAAAUGUAUCGAGACGAUAAAAAUCUUGCCACAAGUUAAGUGCGUUCUUUUAACCUCGGUCGCGCAGCGUCAUUAAACUUCUGAGCGACAGCCAAAAGUGCGCUGUCAACAACUGCAACUGUGACUCAAGUCUCCACAAGGUCGUCCCUCUAUUUUGGAGAGCUGAGGUCAAAGGACGAAUGACGGCUGUAACAUACUACGCUCGGCAUGUGUAGGAUUUGCGUAAAAUAUGCAGCCUCUCUCCCCUCAAGGAAAGUAUUCUGCAGCUCCUCCAAACAAGUCCUCAACUCGCUCUUGAAAACUGCAGCAGCAGUCGAGAGAAGUGUUUGAAAUCUUUAAAGGCUCAAGGUUCCCGGGGGCUGAGAGGUCGUAAUCACAUUAUCAAAUAUAUCAAGCGCUGAUGAAAAAAGGAGCAUGGAGGUGUGGUGUUUUCAUGGCUAGAGUCUGAUUCAACCAAAUCCUCAGAUGUCAGACCUGCAGAUCACAGCCACAACUAAGACGUGGAGUGCCGAGAAAUGCUGUUAAUGA